rnacentral:rRNA from 1 species
AGUGAACGCUGGCGGUAGGCCCAACACAUGCAAGUCGAACGGCAGCACAGUAAGAGCUUGCUCUUACGGGUGGCGAGUGGCGGACGGGUGAGGAAUACAUCGGAAUCUACUUUUUCGUGGGGGAUAACGUAGGGAAACUUACGCUAAUACCGCAUACGACCUACGGGUGAAAGCAGGGGAUCUUCGGACCUUGCGCGAUUGAAUGAGCCGAUGUCGGAUUAGCUAGUUGGCGGGGUAAAGGCCCACCAAGGCGACGAUCCGUAGCUGGUCUGAGAGGAUGAUCAGCCACACUGGAACUGGGACACGGUCCAGACUCCUACGGGAGGCAGCAGUGGGGAAUAUUGGACAAUGGGCGCAAGCCUGAUCCAGCCAUACCGCGUGGGUGAAGAAGGCCUUCGGGUUGUAAAGCCCUUUUGUUGGGAAAGAAAAGCAGCAGGUUAAUACCCCGCUGUUCUGACGGUACCCAAAGAAUAAGCACCGGCUAACUUCGUG